rnacentral:ncRNA from 1 species
GUGUAAGUAUAAACAAAUUAAAACUGUGAAACUACGAAUGGCUCAUUCAAUCAGUUAUAGUUUGUUUGAUAGUAUCUAACUACUCGGAUAACCAUAGUAAUUCUUGAGCUAAUACGUAGAACAAACCACGACAUGUGUAAGGGAUGCAUUUAUUAGAUAAAAGGUCGACGUGGGCUCUGCCAAUUAUUGUGAAGAUUCGUGAUAACUCGACGGAUCGUAUGGCCAUCGUGCCGGCGAUGCAUCAUUCACAAUUCUACCCUAUCAACCUGAAAUCCAAUCAUUUCUAACUUUUCAAAUAUGAAGUUUAUCGAUUGCUUACAUCCUUGGAAUGAUAAAAACCACCAAGUGUUGAAAUAUAAGUACGGAG